CAUGUACACUGUUGAGCAAUAAUAUACACAACAGAGAAAAAUAAAGCAGAGAAUAGGGCUAGCGAGUGUCAGGAGUUAGUCUGAAAAUUUAAAUAGUGUGAUCAGAGAAAGGCUUUUCUUGACAAGGUAUUAUUUGUGCCAAGACCUGAAAGAUGGUGGGAAAGUACUCACCAAGUAGAGGAAAUAGCAGAUGCUAAGACUUGCUGUCUGUGUUUAAGGGGAAAAAAGAAGUCUGGUUUAGCUGGCGUGAAGUUAAUUAAGGAGAGAGCAAUAGGAGGUAGUCAGAGAGGCGGCAAGGUCUGAAUGAGGAGGGCCACGAAGAACAAUAUAAUGACUUAGACUCUUACUCGGAGUAAGAUGAGAAAACUUAGAAGGGUUUUGAACACAGAAGUGGUAUGAUUCACAUUACAUUUCACCAGGAUCAUCCUGCUUGUUCUGUUGAGUUAUAAACUGAAGUGGAAAAAUGUAGGCAUUAAAUAAACGUUUGUGAAUAUGUGGAAAAAGAAUAAAUGAGUCUCUUGUAAGGUAACACUAACAGGAUAACUACUGCCAUUGAUGAACAAAUAGUAUGGUAAAUUUUAAUUAAAACGUUAUUGAGUUAGAAGUUUCAUCGUAAAGGAAUGGUUGUCAGCAUUAAUCAGCAUAUCCAAAAUGUGCUAUUAAAUUUUGAAAAGGAAACUCUAUGUAUUUUUACACUAAUCCCAAAUGCUAAUUGUUUUUUUUUUUUUUAAUUUCCAACACAAAUUUUCUCAUCAAUUCAAAUUUGGAAUUGUUUCUAAGUAGCAAAACAGUGUCAGGUAACCGUGACUGGAAGCUAUUUGGCUAGAGUAAAUCAGACUGGAAAAUCUAAGAGCGCAAGGAACUAUGUAGAUGUCAUAAAAAUCACCUCCUGAUCCUGCAGGUGAGGGUCAACUUUUGUGUGUGUGUGUAUUUUCCUAUCAAGUUGAAAGUGCUUCAUUUUUUGCAAUUUAAGGGAUUAGGCAAUUGCAUAAUUCAAUUCAGUUAUUUUUUUAAGAGACUAUUAGUUUACAUUUAGAAGAAAUUCAGACCAUUCGCUAUGAAAACUUCUCUUUUUAGAGAAGAAGCAUAACACAGCUUUAUGCAUGCUUUAAUCUCAUUCAUCUUUUUUUUUUUUUCAAAUUUAAAAGAAACCCCUAAAGCAUGAAAACCUAAAAACACCUUUAUUGGA
rnacentral:lncRNA from 1 species